rnacentral:rRNA from 1 species
UACGUAGGUGGCAAGCGAUACUCGGAAUCACUAGGCGUAAAGCGCAGGUAGGAGGUUUGGUAAGUCUGUUGUGAAAGCUCCCGGCUUAACUGGGAGAGGUCAACGGAAACUACUAAGCUAGAGUGCGGUAGAGGUAGCUGGAAUUCCCGGUGUAGCGGUGAAAUGCGUAGAUAUCGGGAGGAAUACCUAUGGCGAAAGCAGGCUACUGGACCGUCACUGACUCUGAUCUGCGAAAGCUAGGGGAGCAAACAGG